CCUACGGGCGGCUGCAGUGGGGAAUCUUGCACAAUGGAGGAAACUCUGAUGCAGCGACGCCGCGUGAACGAUGAAGCCCUUCGGGGUGUAAAGUUCUUUCGACAGGGACGAUAAUGACGGUACCUGAAGAAGAAGCUGCGGCUAACUACGUGCCAGCAGCCGCGGUAAUACGUAGGCAGCGAGCGUUGUUCGGAAUUACUGGGCGUAAAGAGUGCGUAGGUGGUUGGCUAAGUUUGGUGUGAAAUCUCCCGGCUUAACUGGGAGGGUGCGCCGAA
rnacentral:rRNA from 1 species